rnacentral:tRNA from 1 species
GCCCUUGUAGCUCAAUUGGAUAGAGCAGUCCCCUCCUAAGGGAAAGGUUAUCGGUUCAAUUCCGGUCUCGGGCGCCA